rnacentral:rRNA from 1 species
GACGAACGCUGGCGGCGUGCUUAACACAUGCAAGUCGAACGGAAAGGCCCUGCUUUUGUGGGGUUCUCGAUUGGCGAACGGGUGAGUAACACGUGAGUAACCUGCCCUUGACUUUGGGAUAACUUCAGGAAACUGGGGCUAAUACCGGAUAGGAGCUCCUGCUCCAUGGUGGGGGUUGGAAAUUUUCGGCGGUUGGGGAUGGACUCGCGGCUUAUCAGCUUGUUGGUGGGGUAGUGGCUUACCAAGGCUUUGACGGGUAGCCGGCCUGAGAGGGUGACCGGCGACAUUGGGACUGAGAUACGGCCCAGACUCCUACGGGAGGCAGCAGUGGGGAAUAUUGCACAAUGGGCGGAAGCCUGAUGCAGCAACGCCGCGUGCGGGAUGACGGCCUUCGGGUUGUAAACCGCUUUCGCCUGUGACGAAGCGUGAGUGACGGUAAUGGGUAAAGAAGCACCGGCUAACUACGUG